rnacentral:rRNA from 1 species
UACGUAGGGUGCGAGCGUUAAUCGGAAUUACUGGGCGUAAAGCGUGCGCAGGCUGUUCUGUAAGUCAGAUGUGAAAUCCCCGAGCUCAACUUGGGAACUGCGUUUGAAACUACAGGACUAGAAUAUGUCAGAGGGGGGUAGAAUUCCACGUGUAGCAGUGAAAUGCGUAGAGAUGUGGAGGAAUACCAAUGGCGAAGGCAGCCCCCUGGGAUAAUAUUGACACUCAUGCACGAAAGCGUGGGGAGCAAACAGG